rnacentral:rRNA from 1 species
AACGAACGCUGGCGGCAGGCCUAAUACAUGCAAGUCGAACGCUCCAGCAAUGGAGAGUGGCAGACGGGUGAGUAACGCGUGGGAACCUUCCCAGUGGUACGGAAUAGCUCAGGGAAACUUGAGGUAAUACCGUAUACGCCCUUCGGGGGAAAGAUUUAUCGCCAUUGGAUGGGCCCGCGUCGGAUUAGCUAGUUGGUGGGGUAAUGGCCCACCAAGGCGACGAUCCGUAGCUGGUCUGAGAGGAUGAUCAGCCACACUGGGACUGAGACACGGCCCAGACUCCUACGGGAGGCAGCAGUAGGGAAUAUUGGACAAUGGGCGAAAGCCUGAUCCAGCCAUGCCGCGUGAGUGACGAAGGCCUUCGGGUUGUAAAGCUCUUUUGGCGGGGACGAUAAUGACGGUACCCGCAGAAUAAGCUCCGGCUAACUUCGUGCCAGCAGCCGCCGUAA